UAGAUAUUAAGUUAAUUAAACUAUGUGUUUCAUGUGCACAAAUUGUUGUAUUUAAGUUACGCAUAUCUUU
rnacentral:tRNA from 2 species